rnacentral:sRNA from 1 species
GCUACCACUCUCCAGCUGCUCCCGCUACCGAUCCUGCUAUGACUGCAUCUUGGCCCGAGACCCCUACUGUGGCUGGGACCCUGGCACCCAUGCCUGCGCGGCAGCCACCACCAUAGCCAACAGGACAGCACUGAUACAGGACAUAGAGAGAGGAAAUCGAGGCUGUGAGAGCAGCAGGGAUACAGGUAAGUGACUCAUAUGAGUGUGGGUCUAGCUACGCAGACUGUCCUCUUUGCCAUUUACUGCCAUGUGUACGUAUAUGUUUGUAUCUGAGUGGCUGUGGCUAUGUACAUUUGGUAAGGAUGACUCAAACACAGAGCCUGGCACAGAGUAAGUGCUCAACAAACAUUUACUGCCCAAAUGAAUUAUAAACGAG